GGAGGAGAGGGCGGCGGCAGCAGCUCGCGGCGCUGUGGCCGGCGGCACUUCUCGCCCAUCCGCGGGCCGGGCGGGAGCGAGGCACAUCGGCUGAGGAAAAGAAAAAGGAAUCUAGAGGCUGCGUUGCUGGGUUGUUGUAGCCAAAGGCUUCUGAUGCACAUGAAGGGCAGUUUGAGGCAGUUACAUCCCUUGUUUGUUCAGGUACUGAGUGCCCAAACCUUGAAAAUGACCAAUCCUGCAAAGGAUUCCCACUUCUUGCCCACUGUCCAGAGAGGUGGGCAGCAGUGUUGGUGUAACAGAGGAGUUAGGACUCAGGUGGAUGAAACUGAGAGUGAUUGGAGCUGUUGGAAGAGCACUUUCAGACUCGCUGACUUUCAGCCUGGUGAGUUCUCUGUUCCAGCCCUCACUGCAGCCCCAAGGAGAAGCAGGAACUCAAUAAAUAAAAGCUUUCUGUUAUGGAGGUAUAGCUGUAAUAAACGCAGUUCUGCUUCGCAUCUCUCAGUGUGCCUCUUCCAUGUCUCCCCUAAUUUUUGCUAUCUACAGACUAAACGAUUUAACUUCUUCUUUCCUCAUGAGCCCUAGUUUCAGUCCUCUGAGCAUGCAUAUUUCCCCCCAUUUUCUCUUAGAACCAUCCACAGUUUCUGAACCACAGCACCCAAGACUGGACACAUUGCUACAGUCAAGUCCACCAGCAUCUGCUAUGUCAUGCCCAUCACACACUGUAUUCCAGUUUACACACACCAAUGCAAAGACUUUUCAGACAGUGAUCUAUUCACAGUAUUGCUGACCUGUUUUACCCCAUCAUCCAUUUCUCCUGACCUACCAGUUAUUUCUCCUUCAAGUAGACAGUAAUGCUACUCAAGAAUGAUUUAUUGCAACUGGCCUAAUCCUUUCCCUUCUCUUUUAUUGCUGGAUAGAUGGACAAUCAAGCAGUCAAGACAUCUUUUAAAACAAAAUUCCACAGAAUUAGAAAAUAGGAAAACCUGUCAUUUUUGUAAGUCAACUGCAUUCCUGGGUUAGAACUGUGUUAUGGUUACCAGAAUUAUUUAUACACAAUUAAAACUUUAAGUUCACUUACAGCAACUUAGCUAACAUAAUCUAAAUGCAAAACGUACUCUGUAACAAAUAAUUUAAGUCAGUUUGUUGUCUACAUCAGUGUUAGAUAAAUUUUUGCAAAAAUGGUAACUUCCCAUUGCUCUGAUAAAUGAGGAACCAAACCUGCAGAUGCACAUAGUUUGCUUUCUUACUUGUACUUAAUUCUGUUACUUUUGUUUAUCAGCCUAAUUCUGAAGUACUCUGAUUUAUUCACUGCCCCCUGCACUUGUUUCCUUCUGGACUAAACAGUGCAUUGGGCAGCUCAUAAGGUUACUGAUGUCAAACUGUAAAAGGGAAAUUCUGCAGAGAGUGAUGGCUGGACAGGCUUCUUAGAUGAAGUUGAGCAUGUCAUUUUAAAUGGUUGUGCUUAAGUCUUCCCAUUACUAAAUUAAAUCCGUCAAUGUUAAAAAUCUAAAACUGGAGUGCCUGAUAUGGUUAUUUAUUGAAGUCUCUGCUGUAGAAGGGAUAAAACUGAAGGCCACUAUCCCAGUUUGCUGUCCUGCCUGCAGGUUUUUACUUUUCAUUCUGUCAUUGUGAAAUAGCUGUAGAAUCAGUUCUUCACUAUAACUGCACAAUGGGGUAAAGAAUGCAUUUGGAUAGUUUGGUUUCUCUGAAAACUGCUUCAUCUGUUCAUCCAUUCUGACUGCGUAAAGCACCUUAAUCGUGUGUUUUAUAUCAAGUGAUACUUGUAUGGUAAUAAUUAAAGGAAAAUGCAAGGUUUUUGGUGAACAAGAAGGAUCUUUCCUCUUCUUUAACACAUGGCCAGCAGAGUUUACAGAGUUGCUUUCCCAUCUUCUUCCAGGUUGUCAUCUUUUUUCUGUUUCGGUCUGGAAGAUUUCCAUCUGUGAAGAAAUUUAGGAUCACAGCAUAAGAUACAAAUAUAAAACUGCUAAUAUUUAGGAGGAGCUGUUACUUGGCUUUCUCCUAUUUUCUUUUUGGUAUAGGUUUUGUAUAGCUUCAAAAUGAUCGCACAAACCCCGGGCAGUGAUGGAGGAAAAUAAAUUUUAACAACUUAAAAUAUUUCACACAUAUGGAUAUUUUGUAUAUAUUGUAUGUGUAUAAAUAUAUAAAAUAUAUAAAACAUCAAUUUGCAGGAGUAAAAAUUAAAUGUCAUCGGAUAAGUUUCACAUGGAAUGAAGUUGUACAUGCAAGUGUGUGGGUCUGAAAAUAAUCAUGCAUGCAAAAUCUGCACCCCUUUCUGAAGAUCUACAAGAAAUAAAGUUUUUAAUCACUGUAUUUCUCUUGCUGUCAAAGGCACAAGAUAAGCUCAUUCUUUAAAAACUGCCUUACAGUUUUUAAAACCACGUAGGAAGGAAUUUCCAUGGCCACCUCUUCACCAGUCCUUUUUGGCACCCAAGCAGUCAGAACAGCCCUCCGAAACAGACAUUUUGCACCAGUGACUCAGAUUUGUUCCGCUUCACAUUUUUUGUGACUGAAGUUCCACUAUAGACCAUCUGUUACGGCCACUCGGGCAGGAAUACAAGCUCACAUCCACGUUGGUGUUCUGUCUGCUCUUUACAUAGAAACUUAUCAAACAGGACUGCUAAACAGAUAACAGUGCGGAAGACCUGCUCUACUGAGCAAUAAACACAAAUGGAUUUAACUGGAGCUUGUAAAUGUUUCAGGAAACACACCCAGCAUGUAUUUGUCUACAGUAAGGGUCAUAUAAUAGUCCAUAAAGAUCUCCUGUAAGUCAAAAGGAGCAUUAUCAGUGGGCCUAUGGGAUUAGUUCAGAUAUUCCCAGUACCAAUCCUAGUAAGCAAGAAAAGAUGUGAUCUCCCCAGAGAACUAAUUAUUCAGGCCAGCAGGAAGAAAGACCAGAAAGAGAAAAUGUUACGGAGGAAGCAGCAGUGCUGUUUGAAGAGGCAAAUCAGUGUGUGAACAAGGCUUUUCUGAUGCAUCUUUUAACAAAAGUGAACAAGGUGGAAUCCUGCAUCAAAGUAACUGUCCUGCUCCAUCAAUUUGAUUGAAAUAGUCCGAUCUGACAGUUUUUUGCUUUUGAAUCAAAUUUGUCUGGAUCAAAAAGAAAAUUAUUUCAGCUGUUUAUGCUGCAGUUGAUUUCUGCUUCUUAUGCUUCAUAUUUUGGGGGGAAAUGGUACGACCAAUUUUUGGGCAAUGUUUAUAAUCAGGGUCAUAUCUCAGUAAUAAGAAUAUACCCUCAGGAACUGGAAUCCUGAUAUGCAGAUUUGGAAUAAGGAUUUUAGGGUCACAGACACAACUACCCAAAUGAGAACUAAGUCUUCUUCUCUGUUUAUAGACACUGCGUCACUUGAAGUCUGUUUCUGUAGUCAACAUGGUAAGAUAAGUGGGAUCUCACUCGCCUCUGCAGCUGGCUAGCUGCCUCCUCCUAGCAUAACAAGCCUAGCUGCUUUCACUUAGUUCCCAAUUACCUUUUUUGUUCUUUUUUUUUGGUGUUGUUGAAUCCUUCCCCUCCCCCAGCUUCUUUACUUGCCUUCUAGCCCCAGGCACUCCUUUAGGCUUAGUUUUCCGAGCUUUUUGUUAACUUCCCUUCUCUGCCAGUUUCACUCUGCUUGCUUCUGGCAGAGCAGUGUCUUCCUCGCUGAUGUCUCCAGCUGUCACUCCCUAACCUCUGGAGGUUUGAGGUUCCAGAAAUCCCUGCGUUCUGAGGGCACUGCCUGUGGGGCUGCCUCUGGGGGCUGAAAGCACACGUGGAAAUAGGGCACAGCCCAUGUGCUUCGUUGUCCCCUGUACUGCUGGAGUGUGCCUGAAUCACAAUUUGAACAGCUCUUCUUCCAUUUCUAAUUCUGUUUCUUUGCUUUUUGAUCAAGCCUUCUCAUUUCAGUUGUUUCCUAGUUUAAAGCCAUCCAUCCAUCCAUUAAGAUGAGCACCCUCUGGUCUGGACCAGCUUCCUACAUCACCACGCUCCAAGAGAAACAAAAUGGAUACACAGAAAUAUGUGGUUAAGGUGUGCAACAGUAUUUCGAGUGUGUGAACUGCUUUCAUAGUGCUUCCCAAGUCUCCAGCAAGAUUCCUACCAGUUUCACUCUCAAGCUGGGUGCUUCUCCAUGGUUCUAAAAACAGUUGAUAAUACAUUUGAGAUUUUCAGAAAGUACAGAGGCACUGAAGACUGACUAGGCCAAGACAGAAUAAUUGUUAUAAAAGAGAGCAAGAAAUUAUUCCUGUUCUAUCUUUCUCAACUCUGCCUUCUUUGUGCUGUAGCACAGCUUUAACCUAUUAGAUACUUCUAAAGUUUUUAAAUAAUUGCAAAUCAAUCAUAUAUUGGCAAGAAAUGGAAGGGACCUUAGAGAUCAUCUCUCUCUAAACUUGAAAAAAAAAAAAAAAAAGAUGUUCAUUUAUAUUCUGUAGCUCAACUCAGCAUUUUAGGGAAUGUUUAACAUCAGAGGGGGAUCUUACGCCACUUAAACACAUCUAAAAUAUAAGUUCUAAUGGGUUCCAAAGCUUGCAAUACAAAGCUAGAGAGAGGAAAGAACUGCAUAGGUGCCAAGGGCUUCUCCACAGAGCUUUUGAACUCUUGCAGAUGUUAGGAGCAAAGAUACUUCGACAGAAAUGGCUAAGUGCUAGUUACAGAUAUAAAGACAAAUCCUCCUGGGAGUCUGCUCCAUCAGCAGGACUGCCCUCAUGCUGAGCAGAACAAAGUAAAGAGGUUGGGAAGGAGCUGUGUGUUUCCCAGUCUUAAAUUCUGAGAAAAAUAAUAGACAAAGGCAUGGCAGGAGGAAGAAUACAAAUAAACUGCAGCAGAGGCAGAGGAUAAACUUAGUUCACUGAGCAAUGGAUGUGGUAAAAACAGCUUAAGAGACUGCAGUUAGUAUAGGCCAUAAAGAUCUGGAGCAACCCGGAACAACAUUUUAGGCUGGAGAUUACAGUGAAGGAAGGUAAGUUCUUUACUGUGAGAGUGGUGAGGUGCUGGAACAGCUGCCCAGAGAGGUUGUGGAUGCCCUGACCCUGGAGGUGUUCAAGGCCAGGUUGGAUGGGGCCCUGAGCAGCCUGGGCUGAUAUUAAAUGGGGAGGUUGGUGGCCCUGCAUGUGGCAGGGGGGUUGGAGAUUCAUGAUCCUUGAGGUCCCUUCCAACCCUGGCCAUUCUGUGAUUCUGUGAAAGGGUCUUACUUCAAAAAGGGCCUUUGGCCUGAAGAAGAGAACAGGCAGGUAAGCAAAAUCCUUUUUUUCCAUACAAGAAAGAAUUAUUCUUCAUCUGUUUCCUGCCCUAGAAGUAGUCCCCCUCUGCAUCCACUGUAAGUAAGGGAGAGCCAUAAGCACUACAGUACAGACACAAACCAGUCAGUGUUGAUGUCCACUCCCUGGCUGGGAGAUACUGCAGUAGAAGCAUUACCUGGAGAGGAAUCUAUGAAUACUGAAAUAGGAAGGAUGGAAAAGAAAGUUUUAAGAACAUUUUCUACAGUCCAAAUCCACUGUCAAGGUUAAGCAAAUAGGGCAAUUUUACCACUGAGAAAAUUAUGUGAAUAGGGAGAGAUCUGCACCGGAAUUACAGAUGCCAUAUAAAUGACAAGAAAGAAAGGAAUUGUCUUCAGGUGGGAAUGGGAACAAGACCUGAAAUCAUAAAGCAGUGAAUCCUAGAAAAACGCAGGAAUUGAUCAGAUUUAAAUAGAAAAUAGCAAAUAGCAGCUUAAUAUCCUGACUAAGCAGACAGUACAAAAAUAGAUAAUCAGAACAAGAACAAAAAUGGUGUUGCAGCAACUGCUGGAAGUUUAAAGACUUAGUUGAAAAAUGAGAAUUUCUCACUUUAAAUGAACACAUUGAUAUAACUCAUUUCUUUGAAAACACUGAAAAGGAUUUGUAUUCAAGCCUCUGCUGUAUGUGAUGACAAAAAGAGGCUGGAGUGUUAAGGCUGGGAAAAAAAAUGGGGAACAUCAUUGUACAAUCCAUCAUACAUCCUUAUUCUCAACUGUGUGUAAUGUGGGAGAGAUUGUAUUCAGCAAAAAGAAUACGGAGAAGGCAAAGAAAAGAAAUGGCCUGCUGCAAUUGCCAUACAAGGAGGGGAUUAAUAUACUGGGAAUCUUGAACUUGUAAGAAGAAAUGCUGGUAUAAUUCGGCAGAGGUCUGUCAGUAUCGUUGAUGGAGAAUGAGUGAUUUAUUUUUCAGAACAGUUUUGUAUUAUUUGAUCUCAAAUUAUCUGGCAAGGUGAAAUACUACAAACUUCCAUAUCCUGUUACAGAGGCAAAAGGUAUAAGCAAGUUCAAAAAUUAAAAUGUGCUGAAGGACACCAAGGAGAUUAGAUUGUCCUUGUGCAUGGACAGGACAGCAUAAUUGCAACAUACAUUACAUAUACAACACAGUAAUGAGUUUGCAGGCUUAUUUGCCACUAGAUAAAAAUGCAGCACUAUUAGCUUUACAGAUCUCUGAUGUAGAGAAGUCCAGACACCAGAUGCAGAAUAAGGUAACUCAGUAAAUACAGAGGAAUUUGAACCAAUGUAAAAUCUGUGACGUGUUAGGAUAAGAUUUGGCAUUUUAAAUUAUUAAGUGGCUACAUCGAUAUGUUUCAAUUCAUUCAACCCCUUUCUUACAGUUUUCAACAUUCUUCAGUGUCGGGGUUUCCAAAAGGAUUUAUAGCAAGAAGGUAUCACCAAGACUUGAAUGAGAGUAGAUCAAAAAUAGCAUUGAGGUUUACUUUAAGAGAAUGCAAGGAGGAAUUAAAAACAUCAUUUGCAAAGGCACCACAAAACACCUCUGGAAAAUUCAUUUUCAGCUAUAUUUAGUACAUUUGAAGAAAUGGUGGCUCCCACUUGAGCUAUAUCAGCUCCAAUACAGAUAAACAAUAGUCAGAUUACAUAGACUUGCCUUGAAUAACUAAAUAUUUAAUGCAGUUGUGCACUUCUGAGUCAUGUUUGGUUUUAGUAUGCAUCUUUUCAGGUGAGUUCCUGCCUCUAAGCAGUCUUACCUCAUAACUGCAAUUUCUGUAGGUGGACAUCUGUACUUCAUUUAUUUAAGUCCAUUCAAUAUCAAAAGUAUGUCGAGACAAUGAAACUAACGCUGAGAGCUUUUAGUACACAAAUAGCUCUUCAGUACAAAGAGCCCUUCAGUACACUCUUCCCUGCACUUUUUUUUCUACAAUAAUUCCAGUUCUCACUUUGUUUAGCUCUGAUAGCUCCGUAAGCCUGGUUCUUGAAAAUUUAUCCUCAUCUCAUAGCACGACUGUUAGACAGACGCUGCAAGGACAGCAAUGUCUGUCCCACUGAAGUUCUACAGUGUGUUUUGUUUUCCUUAUACUGAUUCGUACCUGGAUCAAAUUCAUAUUAUCAUCUUCAGUUCCUUUUGUGAAAACUCACUGCAACUUCAUUCAAGACCUCAAACACUGUCUACAUAAGCCAGAUCCUGGAAAAUACAGAAGAAAAAAAAAAACUUUACUCCAUCUUGUAUAUAAAACAUCUAUUGCUGAUACAUGUGUAAUUUUAUUUGAUUUGCAAUACUUCACUUUUUUCUUUCUUGCCAAAACCAACAGUAGCUGUUGCUAAUGCUGUUUGCCAGCAUCUCCAUCUGCAUCUUUGGUUCCUUGUUGCCUUCUUGCUGUUAGCAUUUAAUCAUAAUCACAGAACGGCCUGGGUUGAAAAGGACCACAAUGCUCAUCCAGUUCCAACCCCUGCUAUAUGCAGGUCACCAACCAGCAGACCAGGCUGCCCAGAGCCACAUCCAGCCUGGCCUUGAAUGCCUGCAGGGAUGGGGCAUCCACAGCCUCCUUGGGCAACCUGUGCCAGUGCCUCACCACCCUCUGGGUGAAAAACUUCCUCCCUUUACAGAAGUCUGAUUGCAUCUCUGAAUUCUCGUGGGAAUUUUUCCCUUUUGGUGGUUAAAAUUUAUAGUAGCAUGAAGUUAUUUGUACUGUGAAUCACAUCUUCCUGUAGCUCAAGGCCUUGGCCUGGUCCCCUCUCAGAUGUCCUACACGGUGCUCUGUCAGUGCUACGGAACACCUCUCUCUCAUCUACCAGGUCCCAGGCUCACACUGCAUGUGCCAACAUUUCAGUACUGUUAGUAACACCAGGUUCCAUUUCAGGGUGUUCAACUAAAUGAACCUCAAAAUUUUACCAUGUAGAAACUGGACCCUUCCUUAUCUUACCUUCCCUUAAUCCUUUCUUUUGGAGUGAUUUCCAUAAAGCACCCAGGAAAACAGUCAAUUUUGUCUCCAAGUCAGCACUGCAUUUGUUUCAAGUUUUUGUCUGAGCUGUUUUCUGUGACUGUUUACUUAAGUGAUUGUGUAUUUAGAUGCACGCAGGUAUAUUUUUAAGGCUUUCAGUCCAAUUUACACAAAUGCUACAUUUAAUGCAUUUUUCUCUGGAGCUUCAUGUCCCAGUUGUCCUAUUAGUAUUGUGACACGUCUGCUCAUAUGAGGCACAUCCACUGCACAUCUCAAUAAAAGUAAACAUCCUGUGUUUCUCAGCCUUCUCUAAAGCCCAACAGAUGGCUGCUACUUUUACAAACUGUGCUGAAUAGAAUGGCUCACGUUUCCCUUGCAGAGUCUUAUUUCUGGAAUCCAAACCCAGUAUAAUUCUUGCAGUUUGGAACACGGAUCUAGGCACAGAUCUGUGGAGCCCACAUCAGUCCCACAUGCUGACUCUUUGCAGCUCAGAUCCGCUUGCUUUUCAGAAUGGAUGUACAGGGGAACAUACUUGGUAUUUCUGAACCACCCAAAGCUGCAGGAUGACUAUAAUGGCUUCCACAUGUAUGUCCUUGAUCAUCAAACCUAAAGGUCCUUUGUGCUAUACAUCUGUCAGAACCUUUAAUGUUCUCUUUUUUUUUUUUUUUUCCCAGAGAAAAGUGUUUUUUGGAGAUAUAGGAUAUUCUUAGAAUGACUGGAUUUCACCUUAAUGCUCGGAGCCAGUCCCUGUUCAGGAUACUGUCAGAAUCUGUGGGAAAUAUUGUACGUUUUCACUCCCUUACCUAACGCUCAGCAGACAGAUGCCACAGGCGUAUGGCUUAGCCUGAUUUUGCAGCAGCAGUGCUACACUGAUGUUAUCUGCUCUUACCCCCAUCCAGGAACCAAGGGUGCUCUGGUGCCUGGGUGAAUUAGCAGCAAUGCCAGCUUGAGACUUUACUCUGCAUGCACGAAGGUGAUGAGUUCAGGAGCUCAUUCCUGUCUCAUUUUUUUCCUCAAAAAAUCAUCUCUGGAGCUACUUCAGCUGCAGAUCAAGGCAAGCAGUUGCUGUAUAAGUUUUACAGCAGUCACAGGGCAGUUCAGGAAUGGUCUUCAUCUUCGCCUGCUGAAAAUUUUUCUCCACUGAAUGGCAGGCUUGCAGUCAGCUACUUGUUCCCAAUAUCCAGUGACUGAAUUAAGGAUCUAAUGAAAAAAAAAAAAAAAGCUUCAGGAAGACCUUACAAACUAAUUAAUUUUUUGCAUGGAAGAUUUUCAGUGAGCUACACAGCUGUUAUGUAGUGUCCAGAGGCCCUAAAAUUAUACCAUUUGUUUAGGCAUGUUUAUGUCAGGCUUAACUCUGGAGAAUUCAGGAAGUCCUUAUACUUCUCCUCCAAAUAUACUGUCUACCAAAAUAGUUGAGUGCAAGCUAACAUACUAGCUACCCUUGUAGACUUACAUCACCAAGACCCUGUCUGAUUCAUGGCAUUUGCAGGAUAUUUUUUCAUCAUACCAACACAGAAACAGAACAGGAGACUGGCCACAACCCAAAACCCAUCAAGUCUUCUUUAUUUCCUAAAUCAGUUAUUUGCACUUCCAAUUUCCUUUACCAUUCAUGUGGUAAUUUUUUUUUGGUGGGUUUCUUUUUAAACAGACUAUUUUCAUUGUGUUUUAAAUGUUUUGGGGUUUUUUUGUGUGUGUACCAUAUUAUUUGCAUUGUAUCACUUCAAGCUUAGCCAGCUUGACCUUCAGCUCAACAUCGGAUCACUUCUGAGUGACCCUGGAGAACUGAGAAACCAGAGAUUUGAAAGGUUUCUCACCAGAGGUCUGGUCAUGGCGAUGGCAUUCUGCUUUAACUCCCAGUAAUGGUAACAUCCUCUUGGAGCAGUUUUUCUGUUGAUCACAAGAUCUAACUGGUUUAAGCUGAGACAGUCUUCAGCCAGUCUUGCAAUGCUUCCUUAAAGAGAGGUUCCCUGGGUGGUUAUAUCCAUAUUCACAUUAAUAGGGCUAAGUGUCAUUGACUGGUGUACACAGCCAAAGAGUUUCUAGAGAGGAUCUGUUGGCUUUUUGUUUUGCUUUCUUUUACAAAAAGUUCUGCUCAGAAAAAUCAAUAUAACCGAAAAAAGCAACCUAUCAACAUUUUCCAGUACAUAUAGCAGAGAUUCCGUUUGCUUUACCUAACACACAUGAAGAAUGUGUACUAAGAUCAGGUGAACUACUUGCAUUCAUUGAACUCUGCCUGGAAUUUCAUAUAUUUUGUUAACUGCAAUAUUCCAGUACUUGAAGGGAGCAUAUGCACAGGAGGGGGAACAGUUGUUUACGAGGGUGGACAGUGAUAGGACAAGGGGGAAUGGUCUUAAACUGAGGCAGGGGAGGUUUAGGUUGGAUAUGAGGAAGUUUUUCACACAGAGGGUUGUGAGACACUGGCACAGGUUGCCCAAGGAGGCUGUGGAUGCCCCAUCCCUGCAGGCAUUCAAGGCCAGGCUGGAUGCGGUGCUGGGCAGCUGGUUGGUGACCUGCACACAGCAGGGGUUGGGACUAGAUGGUCAUUGUGGUCCUUUGCAACCCGGGCCAUUCUAUGAUUCUGUGAUUCUAUGAUUCCAGUUCUUUUAGAUUAAAAAUCUAAAAGAAAUAUUUUAGGACUGCUGGUACUGAUCUUCAUGCAGGUGCUUUUUAAUAAACUAAGAACCACAAAGUUUUAUCUACUUUUUUUCUGUCAGUCUUCACUUUUUUUUUUAAUAAAACAGUCAUAUUUCAAUUUCGUUGAGUUUUUCCAAUCAUCCCUGAACCAUCUUGUCUGCAAUAUAAAGACACAUCCUUGUGUUUGUAGACGUCCCUUGCCACCUGGGCAUCUGGACAACAGAACAAUCAUAAGGACUAUAAAGGUUGAUCAACUCUUCUGCUUUUUCAAAAAAUUAUGGUUUGUGCACAAGUGUGCUCAGGUGAAUAUAUCAUGAAUGUUAUCAGUGGUCACAUGAGGCAUCAAAAUCUAUUGCUCCUUACACAGAAACUUGUAUUCAAUUGUGACCCAAGCCAAUAGAUAUGAUUUCUACAGAUAUUUGUUACAUUGAGGAGGAAAGGCCAUAUAGUGCAGCCUUACAAAUUUUAAGUGGGAGAGAAACUUUGUAUGAAUGUGCUCAUCGUAGCCAGAGCUUCAAACACAUGCUGUGAGAAACCCAUAAUAAACACACACAACCUCUCAGCCUUUUACUCCUUGUUCAUACACAGAUCCUACAACCUAUCUAUCACCUACAUCUGGCUCUUUUCUUUCCCCACUUAAUUUCUAAGUGCUGUGCAUGCUUUACACUAUGCUGAAAUCUGUUCCAGCCGGUCAGGCUACGCUGCUGCUACAAAGGAUGAAAGCAAGGUCAAGCUAAUCAAGCCCAAGAGGAUAGCAACCCAUGUGGCUAUUAAAGAAGGUUACAGUAGGCUCAGAGUUGUCAGGAGAGACAUACAAACAGCUCCUUACGAGUGUAAAUAAGGCAGAUUUAAAUGUGUUUAAUCGUGCGUGCCUGUCUCAAAAUCUGGCUCAUCGUUCUUCUUUCUAUUUCUCACUCAGGGUCACCAGUGCCUGAAAACACUGAUAUGCCAAGGAAGCCAAUUCCCUGUGGGAGCAUGACUGUGCUCCACACACAGAAAUUUCCCCUUCUGUCACUUGGCAUAGUUCAGUAUGUGACUUGCUAAUUCAAAAUACAAACAGAGAGGAACUAGGGCCAAUAGUUGAAGAGCUGCAAGCAGAAUUCUCAGCCCUUCCCAGUAAGUGAAUGAUACCUCCCCUCUGGAACUAUCACCCAUUUCUCUGUUGUUUUUUUUUUUAGCUUAACCGGUAUUAUACCCUUGGAACUUAGGAGGAAAUGGGAAAAAUGCCAUACUCAAACACACGUUUCAGGCUGAAAAAGCAAACCGCUCAAUGUCUGCAGUGCAUGAUCCAUAAUUUAGCGGGCGAGUUUCUCUCAUCCUCUAGUUCUUUUGUUCCCAUGAAUUGCUUAUUUCCUUUCUUUCUCUGUAUCAUUUUCUCUGGUAACUUUGUUGUUCUUUAACACCUUUUAAUUAUAGUAUGAAAUACAUAAGCAUGUAUUUAAAUACAUCUCAGUUCCUGCUGCUCUCAUCCUGGUUAUAAACGCAAUUUAAAAACCUUACUCAUAUUUAUGCACCAUUCAUCAAGCUUCUGAGAAGGAAAAAACUUUCCUGUAUGCCUUCCUUUACAAGUUUUCCUUCAUUUCCAAGCAUCAGGGUGCACGAGGCCUGCUGCAGCUUUGCAGGCUUUGCCUGAAAAUGCCUAAGAAAAUGAAACAUCCAUGUUAAACAUAUGGAAAAUACAGUGAGAGUACAGCCAGACAUUUUCUGAAAGCCAAACUUAGGACACUGCCUUUCCUUUGGUUCUUUAUCUAACCCUGUGAGUGCUGACUCUCUCCCAGGAUGGCAGUGAACUUCAGCAGGAGGCAGUAACGAUGUCUUAACAGUAACUGCCAUAGUAAUGGUGUGUCUUCUUUCCCCUCUUGCAGCAGGAUGGAGCACCUGGUUCUGCUCUGGAAGGUGAAACCAAGAGGCUUCUUGCUUAGGGACAACACUGUUGUACAUGUGGGGAUUCUUUACUGGGAAUCUUAUGGCAUCUUUGCUUGGCAUAUCCUCAGGAAUUGUUUUGAUAAUUGCUCCACUCUUUUUACACAAGGUGCUCAUUUGGUGCUUGCCAAACCCUUCCAAUGUCCAUCUACAAUUCAUAACACUUUCUUGACACUCUAUUUAUCAGGGAACCAAGUGAGCAGGGAACUAGCUGCAAAAGCUGCUUGCUCCCUGGGCUCCCUCCUUUGUUCAGAGGAGCUCGUCUGAACUUUUAUUACAAAAAAUACUCAAGAAUUAAGAUAAAGUCCUUAAUCCAGUGUGACUUUCCACUCACAGAACUGCACCUGGAGCAUGGACCACAUCCACUCAGUUCUAAAACAAUCCAGUGCUGCUCACAGCUCAUGUUUCAUUUCAGAGCCAAACUUGGAAAGCUCAGGCUAGCAGUUGCAUGUUAAAGGAGCUGGUUUCGCCUUUUAAGUGUUUGAAUUUGAAAUUCAAAGUUAGUAUCUCAAAUUAAGGAAAGCUGAUAAUGUAUGGCAAUACAGAGGGCAUGAUGCCUUUAAUAGAAUUAUUAAACUGAAUUAAUGACUACGUUUUUCAAUAGGGAGAAAGAAAAGGGAGUAGAAAGGGGCCAUGAAAGUUAGUAUUCCUAUCCAAAGAAUUAAAAAAUCAGUUCUCCUGAUUGUUUAUGGUUAAUUAAUUCUAAGAAAAUUCUAAGAAAACAGAGAGAAUUUAUCAGUGAUGCUGUAGUAAAUGAGCAGCUCUCAGCAGUCUGCCAUCCUGAGUCUAUCAGCAUAUAUUCAAAUUUACUGCCUUAUGGACAGAUAGGGCUCUGAUGGACCAGAGCUUGUUGCAGUCCUUCCACACUUUAUGAACUUAUCUUCCUGAAGCCUCCACACAUUGACAGGAACCAUCGAACAUGCCAAAUGCUAUCAAGCGUACCUUUUGGUAGGUGCUAGAACUUUCCAUUUGCCUGCUUCAAAAUCUCAGCUCUGAAAGCUGUUCCAUCACAACGAAAGAAGAACAUUUUCUCUGUGCAGGUGUUGGAGCACUGACACAUGCUGCCCAGAGAGGUUCUGGAGUCUCCUCCCAGACGUGGGCCUGGCCUGCCUCCUCUGGGUCUCUGCUGGAGCAGGGGUUGGACCAGUAGGCCCCAAACUUGUCCACAGCUUAGAAGCUCAAGAAUGCUCACUUCAGCAGAUAUUUUACUUAUUUGGGCUAACAAAAGAUAGAACAAAAUAAAAUAAAUGACCCAAAGCCGUUCAAGAGUAUUAGUACAUAAAUAGUAAUCAAGCUCAGUACCAUGAUCAGUGGCUAUUGUGAAAGCUGUUAUCUGUUAAUCACAGUUUAGUCAUUCCAGGUUGAUUUCAGAGCUUUCUGUCAGUACCCCAAACCAGCUACACUUCAUCUUAGCUGAAGUUAUCUUCAAAUGGCUUUCUAGAUUAGGUUUUGGUAAUUCAGGCUACAGAUUACAAUACUUUAACAGCCCAUUUAACAGCCAUAGCAGAUCCUACCUGGAAACAGACUGAGGAAAUAAAAGCAGCAGUUCUUGAUUCUGAACUUGCCUUCCAGUCAGAAUCAUUUUACCUUUUGCCUCUGGAAUGGAGACAGACGAACUAAUUGAGAUGUCAUCAUGUCAUCAGGAGCAGCCAAAUUCAGAAACACCAGGAACACACAGGAGAACAACAGUGAUUUUGCCCACAUCCAGUUGGCCGGCAGUGAAGAGGAGCGAUCCCAUGACUGUGCAGCACAGCCCAAAACAGCAUGAAGCAUUUCCGUUCUCAAUUCUACAAAAAGUCCUUUCUCACUUUGAGAAAGCUCCUUUAACAUCCUUUCAUAUCCCACUGGUCCCCUCUGAAAGCGGCCGCUAGAGAAGGUUUUGUGGGCUGAAGUCAGAUUUGGACUAGAUUAAUGCAUGAUGCUGAGUCUACAUGCAUACCAAACUGUGUUGCAAGACAACUAACACUUGGAUUUAUUCUAGGUAAUAUUUUAUUUGGGAUGGGGUGCAGCUCAAAUGGUAGAGGAAAAAGGCCAGAAAACUGUCGUGAUCAUUUAGUCUGGUAAGAGAUACAACUCAUUUCUCAAAAAAAAUGAAGUCCAGUCUUAAUCCAGUGCCAUCGUGCCCUGUAGGUAUAGGCAAGUAGCUGGAAUGGUUAAUUGUGCCCCUAUCCCCCUUUAUAAAGUACCUUAUUUCCCAUUUGACUGAUGUUUUGAAUGGCAUCUCAUUUCAGCUCACAGGCAUUCAUCCUGUCAGACUCUGACUAUUGUGAUAAGAGCCUUUUAUUACCAAAUUUUAUCUCUGUAUAAAGUCAUUAGCUGAAGAACAAAGCCUGCAGCACUCACAAGCUGUGGAAGGUGGGAUAUUCCUCUUUACAUCCUUCUGUCUUCGUUCUGUGGUUUUCUCCAGCACAGAGAUGCAGUACAGGGUCUGGCAGGGGAUGAGUUUGUGGUGCUGGGGCUCAUACUGUCCACUAUCAGAUUCGGAGCGCAGGUCCCAAAGCAGCACAUGCCCUCAGUACAGCACAAGGCACCCCAUCUUUAGAGGACCUUCACUCACAUGCACUUCAGAGAGGCCGUGAGCUUCCUAGAAUUUGAAAUACAUAGGAUUCAGGCCAGCUCAGGAUUUACAACUUGCAUGGGUUAAGUAGUGGUAUUGGCACUUACUGUAUGUUUCCUUAUGGAGAAAGCAACAAAUGCAAGCGAACUUCAAUAGAAAUGAAACAACGAUAAAAACAAACAUUGGGGAAAACAUCAGAAUACAAAUUUGUACUCCAAACAUUUAGACAGUGCUAAAUCUAGAUGUGUAUCAGGCUACGUUAACCAGAGACAGGAAGAAAUUCAGAAACUGCCAGUCGUAGAUGAAAAGUGUAUCAGGUAGUUUUCCUUUACGUACCUACUUCAUAAGUGUCCCCUUCACAAAGCACACUUAAAAGCAGGUUCGUGGUGCAGGGGAAGCAGUUAACAGCACCAGCACCAAUUUCCCUUGCAGUGAUUCUUCCAGCAGCGCAGCCGCCCUGUGCAGCACUGGUACAGCUGGUGGUGCCCCACACCCUUGCAGUUGCACCGACAGCUUUUUCUGCUCUGUAUUACAAAGCCUUCAGAGGCAGCAUUGGUUACACCAGAGGAUUCAUAGUUUUCUGAAAGGGCAACAGCUGCCCGUGCUCCACCUGAGUGCAGCUGAAGAGUUGAGGUCUGCAGCUGAGUGAACACAGCUUUUCUACCUUAUAUUAUUUAACAAUGAAAGGGAGACAGAGGCAAUAUGUGACUUUAGCCAAGGUACGAUUUUUCAGAAUAGUUUAGGGCAUGUUUUAUGUUCUGCAGGGGUUUUCCAUGACUUGGGGAAAGCCUAAAUGUGUACUGAGAAACAUCUUCAACCUUCCCAUAACAAAGGCCGUGAGUGACUGCAGCUACUUAAAACCUGCCUUGGUUUCUAAGGAAGACUUUAAGGGCACUGUCAGUGGCAUUAGUGCAUUAAAUACAACAACAGUAAUCUGCCAGUAACCAAACAGACCUGGCAGGAAAGCACCACGGGUUCGUCAAACUUCAGUGAAAUUAAACACUUGUUCUGUCAUCUCUGUUCUUUACAAAUUACUGUGCAGCCUUCACACAUCUCAUGCUGUUAUCCCAACUGUGCACAGCAGUAAGAGCCUCUGCUGUUUAUAAAACACACUCAGGAACACAGCAAGCAAAUCGAGUCUUCAGCAGUGGUCAGAAGGCAACAGCCUUCACGUGCCCCACCAGCUCUCACUUCAGCCACCUCUUUCGCGUCCAUUCCAUUGCUCAGGCUCCACAGAACAGUUUGAGUUGGAAAGGACCUUUAAAAGUCAUCUAGUCCAGCUCCCACCCAGUGAAAAUGAACAGGGACUUGCUGUUUGCAUUCCACCCUUUGGCUCUUCAGCAACAGACCGCAAAUAAAAACUCAUCAGUAUUGCUUUAGCUUCGCCCCCAGCAAAGAACCUUCAUGUAACUUUUCCUUGGGGCCACUUGGGUCACAGCCUGGAGCCCCUGUCUCUGAAGAGGUUUCUCCCUCUUGCAUUCAGCCCAACCCACUGCUUCCAAGUCAGAUUUAUUGCAGCCUGCUCACAGUGUGCAGCAGUCACACAGGCACUGCCCAGACACACUGAGGCCAGACCAUGCAGGGACCACCUCAUAGUUCCCAAACGGAGUUACCGAUCUGUGCCAGAAGACUUUAUGAUGACUUUUGCUGUGUUAUGACACAGGUAGGGGAUUUCUCAGCCCGCAGCCUGCCUGGCAUUAUCUCUUCACUCACCUAUUUCUGUUCUCGUGUGCUUUACUCCCUCUGGUGCAUUGGCUGCACCUCCAGCCACAGUGCAAGGUGAGCACAUAGCAACACGGCUCAGAAGUCAGUCAGUGACACUCACUGACACUGGGAAGAUUUUCUUGGGGAAAGUAAAGAUAAAUGCCACUUUAUAUCACUCGUUAUAAGCUGGCAAUCUAUUCUUAAUGGUUCUCAAGAACCUCCUGCUCAUGAAAUGCACAAUAACGAAACCAUCUUGACAAAAAGAGAAGGCAUAUUGUAUAUACUAAAUGCUGCAUUUUUCACACACCUAAACUGCACUCGGGUUCUAAGGGCCUGAAGUUUUAAUUUCGCUCCUUGAGAACAACUAUGUAACAUACCUUUAAAAGUGAGGGGGUUUAUUUUUAGUCAUACUGGAGAUAAUGGAAAAAACCUCAAAUCCUGUCUAAAAUCUGGGAAAAAAUAAGCUAUGAAUGUCAGAACACCAUUUCCUUCCAGAAGAUUACCAAUGGUUUAUUAUUCCAAGUGUAUAUUUAGAAUAUUCCACUUUCAUAGCUGCUUUAAUAUCAACCACAUUAAAACAUUUCUGAUAGCUGAUUGACCGCCUCCAUAAGCAAAUCCCAAGCUCCCACACCUGUUCCAUUACACCGAGUGCUCACAGCAUCCUUCCCAUGUGUGCACACACACGUGGAGCCUCGGCACGUUCCUCAGGCACACAGACACUGCAUGAAGAACACGUGGCCCGAAACGUCAGCUAACAAAAAAGCACACCCUGCUUUUAGAGCACUCGGCAGUGUCCCCGCAGCAGCCUGGUGAUUAAAAAUGGAGUUUUAAAACUCUGUGUUUCCUGUUCCUUUGGUGCUGAGCAGCUCUUGUGCCACGAGUUAGAAACCAAACGUCAAUAACGCUUCUCCCUGUUUUCUGCUGUAGGUCACCUACGUGAACGUACUUUAUUCCCCUGUACUUUGGGCAGACCAACUGAACAUUGUGGUUUGCACCCACGUUAGGUAACACUGUCAUCUUUCUUCUCUGAGGUUUUGUGGAGGUCUCAGGAACACACAGAGGACAAGAAACACCUGUGUGGUGGCUCAGCUAUCCAAGCAGCAUGGAAAAGGCGUUAAGAACUCGGGGGAGGGGGGGGUUUAUUUUGCAAACAAAAGGAAAGUUCAUUUCCUCUGUUAGCUCACCAGAGCAUUAGGUGCAAAAACACGCCUGGAGCUCGUGAAAGACCUUUACUUAUGUCUGAAUCUACCAAAAUUCUUCAUAGAGCCAUCUGAAAAACAUUUGAUUUUUCCUUUACAAAAUACUACAGAGCUUUUCUGAACCGUUUCAUCAAGAAGGCUGUUAAUAAAAAACACACAGACCAACAGAAAUUGUGAGCUAUAAUCAAAUCUUUUGUUUGGGUUUUUUGAGUUUGGGCUUUUUUUUUCCCCAUAUAUUUGAAGAGUAUUGACAGAACAGUCAAAACUGCCUUCUUAUUGCAGCAGUAGUCAACUGUCCACAUGCUGACUGCCAUGUAAAUAAAUCCAGUGAAUAGCAAGUGAGCUUGGUAUAUUGCACACACCUGCAAGAAACCACAAGCACUUACACUGUAUCUCAUCUGAAUGCAGUCAUGGGACAUUCCAACAGUUUAGAAAAUAAAUGGGCACAAAUUCAUAACUGAAGCAUGAUGAAGGUUUGCUUUAGAAUGUAGGGAACAACAGCGAGGUGAAAACAAACACAAACGUCCUGGAUGUCAGCGAAUGCAGAAAGGAACAGACACUCAUUGCGUGUGCCACUGGGCUGGCUCCUAACAACCCAGGGCUCCUCCACUCACUGUCUGGCCAUUCUGGCAACAGACCACAACACAAAUGUUAAAAUAAUAACACUAAUAAAAAUAAGUAUGGAUUCCGGCUUAUUUUAGCCUAGAUGUUCUAACAAAACAUCACCAUUCAUUCUUUGGCAUGGGAUGCCUGUGUGCUCCUACUGCGUUCCUUAAUCGCCUCAACAUUUUAUACUCUCUGCAAAGGUUAGGGCAGCAAGUUUGAUCUGACUAUAAGAAUUAAUUCCAACAAUCAUGUAAUUAUCCUGUUGCUGUAAUGACAAAUGCCUACACAGAACAACCCGAGAUCCCUGUGAGUGCUGUGUUAAUUGUUUUGGAUCCAGACAGAUUCCUCCAACAGUAUCUUAAAACAAGUUUAGCGUUGCAAAUGCAGCUCUACAUCUUCUUGCUGCAAAUCUACAGCUACACAAACGUCUGGGAAUAAACACUGCAAGGAACUUCCCACUGUUUCUCCUGAUCCCUCAAUUUACCGGUCCUAAGUCCAAGUUCGUUGUUACAGAGAAGCCCUGAGGCUUCCUUCCUCAAGUCCAUCCCACAAAUUGCUGUUAGAGAACACUGGUUGAGGUGCAGACACUUCCAGGUAUCUUACCUGUUACAUGUGCGUUCAGUGGGUUUGAAUCUGAAGCAGCAAGCAGUGGCAUGCACUGCACUCCUAGGAGUUCAACUCUACUGAUAAUUAACAACUCCUGUAUUAAAAACAUCAAGAAAAGUCAACUGUGGUUCUGCAUUUGUGCUUCAGCUUUAGUCUAGUGUACUUCUCCGCAUUAAUCGUGCCAGAUUAUUACUACUUAGAAUGUAACAAUCCUUUGGUGAUCUACUGAAAUUCUGGUUGGUUUUUGUUUGUUUGUUGUAACAUUUAUUAAAUAUUUAACCUCCUCAAAUGAUUUAAAUUAGCACACAGAACCGUCUUGAAUUCCUCCUAGCAUUUCUUACCACCAGUUCUGACUUCCUAUGGCAAAAGGCUGUUCCAACAUCACCCUUAUAGGAUUUUUAGCAGCAUCAAAUCUUUAUUCCAAACAUGAGAGGGUAAGAUUGAUAUUGAACUGAAAACUUAAUGCAUUCCCAUAAGAUGACUGGUAUCACCACGCUCACUUUCUCCUUUUUCCAUGUCCCAGGAAACCCAGUGGUGCCUGCAUGGUAGAGGCUGCAGUACUGGCUCAACCCACGGCUCUCCUCACUGGCACAAGUUAAGAAAGAAAGCCCAACCCUUGUGAGCAGACAGCUUCUGCCUCUCCUGCACGCUUCACUGCUGAAUUGUUCAUCCCACAGACAAACAGGAACUGGCUUUUAUGCUUGAAGGGUGUUUAUAUUUUGCAUAAUUUAGUGAAGGCCCUAUCCUGCUUCCAUCAAGCUCAAAAGCAAAAGCAAGCUGUUACACUUGUGCCAGAGGGAGCCAAGGAUCCUCACCGACAGCCCUGACCAAAGGGCACAGGGGUCUGCCUGCCUGUCUUCAUCCAUUCAUCAGUGUAGUAAGUAGCAGCUCCUCAGCCUACACCAUGCUAAGAGAGGAAAGGGACAGGAUUCGCCCCACUCCAGAAACAGAUAUCAAAGCACUCCUACCUCUGCUCACCUGCCCUCACCAUUACCAACUUUAUUUACAUUGGUCAAAUAACUCCUGCUGCUCCCCCAAAGCAGGGGGAAAUCCUGCACCCAACUGAAAUAGGUUGGAGAUUCAUGAUCCUUGAGGUCCCUUCCAACCCCGGCCAUUCUGUGAUUCUGUGAAAUGCCCCACUUGGAAUGGGAUCCAUCUCUGAAAGUAGGCAGAGGGAGCAGCCCCAGGCACAGAGGGCAGCAUGCACGUGCUGGAUUUAACCUGCAGAGAAAAGGAAAAGAAACAAAGGGGAAGAUUAGGAAAGCUCUGACUGUGAGUAAAUCCGUUUUCUUUCAUGUGUUCACUAAUAUUCUCCUGCUGCUCCGAAAUAUGAUGCUCUAGGUUUAUUCUCAUCUCUGAAUAAAGAUGGACACUUUUCUGUGCUCAGGUAA